ensembl:lncRNA
GGAAAGCAAAUGUUGCAGCUUGGAAUGCAAAGAGCAAUGUUUUCAUCAGUGCCAUCAUGUUGGCUGUGGAUCGCUAUUAUUUCCUUGAAAGAAGUUGGAAGAUGGAGAGUCGAUCCUGCUUCACACCUCCAAGAGAUGUGCACAGAGUCACAAUUGACAGCAGCAGUUUAAUUAAACAAAAGCAGCACGGCUGUUUCUUGCUAAAGCAGCAGACCCUAAUCAUCUGCUAGAAAUGGAUUCCUCCCCCUCUCACUGAGGAUAAACACUUGGAGCACUUGCAAAUUCUGAUAAGCGGGUGAACUGGAAAGGACGGGACUGUGCCAGACGAGGUGAACUGCCUGCAGUGGGGAGGCUCCCUCCUGCCCCUGGAAAUGCGGAUGAGAAAAUAGAACACAAAGAUGAACAAACCUCAGGGGAACAUGUUCAGGCUGUAAAAAUACUGACGCAGUAUCAAGAUAUCUGGAAGCACUCUUGGAAUACCCUGUGAGUCAUGGGCGCUGUAUAUUACAUGGUCAACGCUUAUUCAACAAAAGUAAUUUCUCAUGUGAGACCACGGGAAUCAGAGAAAUUGGCUUUGCACCAAGGUGCCUGAUUCAGCAAGAUGUUACCAGCGCAGAGGCUCUGCUGCUGUGCUCCAGCUUUUAAACACCGGGAGAGGGGAAGUAAUCAGCACGAGGAGAAAACAGGAGAUCCCUUACAGCUCUGUGCAUGGCAGUUUUUAACUCUGAGCUGGAGGAGGAAUAAUACAUGACACGGAAGGAGAAAUGCUGGGCACUGGAGUGCACACAGAACGUCCCAGCGACCUCCAAUUCCCUGCCAAAGGCACAGGGGUGAAAGACGUGGAUUUUAUCAUGUUCCUGGAGAGAGACAUCUUAAAUAUAUGAAGCAGAGGAGAAAAGAUUACUGCAGCACAAAGCAACACUCUUCCCUCCUCACUCACAAAAGCCAUAGGCAACAAUUGAGCCGUGCACAUGGGAAGGUUUAUUUUCUUCAUGAAAACGAGUGAUUUAAAUAAGAGCCAGAACCAGCCAAAUGCUGAGCCCCUUGGCUGCCAGCUCACAUGGAUGUACCGUGGCUGUGAAGAGCCCUUGGUUGGUGCCACACACUUGAGAGGAGGAGCAAUGCAAAUUGGCACACGUGAGCUCUUUCUGGUGCCAAUUGGAACCCAUCUCCACUUUCUUCUAAAUCCCAACUCCUCGCUCGUAUUCUUUUAGAGGAUCACAGAGCACUGAGCACGGAGCUGAAAAGCUUCGCCUGCCCUAGGAGCUAAAGGCACAUAUUUCCAAAAGCAGCAGGCUGCAACCAGCUCCAAGCCCUCUUGUUGCAUGCAGAGCCACAAAAGCAUUAUGGUAACUCUGAGCACUGAACCAUUUAAAAUCUAUUUUAAUUGAUUUCUGGCUACUUUGUGAUUCCAGCAUGUUGUUAGAUGAGUGGUAGAUAAAAGUAGCAGGAGGUAACAACUUCUGUGGGGAGAUCAUGCCUAAAAUACGGCGUUCAACUCUGGGUACCUCAUUGCCAGAGAGAUGCAGACAAAUUGGAAAGAAUUCAUAGAAGAGCAUUAAAAAUGAUUAAGGGUCUGAAGAGACUGAGUUAUGAGCGAAGAUUAAAGGAACUUAAUAUGAAUCACUUGGCUAAAUGAUGACUAAGAGGGAAACGAUACCCUUCAACAAGUACUUGGAGGGCAUAAAUAUCACAAAUAAAAAGGAAUUAUUUAGGGCUCUGAAGGACAUACCACUUGGGAUAAAAGGAUGGUGUUAGGCAAAGGGAAACUGGCUCUGAACAUACAUCGUUAAAGUCUAACAGGCCAUUUAUGGGAAACUAAAUCCCGACACAUUUAUCUAACCCUGCUGCAGUGUUAAUUUUUGCCUAUGAUAGCAAAAGAAAUCCCAUUGUCUUCAGUUAGAUGCAGUCCAAGGUUGUAUGGGAAAGAGGCAUCGCUCCCAAUGGCAAGUUGGGAAAACAGCAAAGAAGAAACAUUCAGAGCUUUUGAAGAGCCACUGUGCAGCUGGAAGAAGUGCCAAAAGGGAAGAAAUGCCACGGUGUGGCAGCCCUGACCCCAGCCUGUCUUAGAAAGCAGCUGUGCAUUGAGCAGGAUUGAAUAUCAGCAAGAAAUCGGACUUGGCCAUGCCUUGAUCAGCAGAGCGGAUCAGAGGGACAGCGCUGUGAUUCCUAAAACUGCUACCACGUAUAUCUACAUACAUCACCUUGUGGUUCUUUGGGCUUACUGCAUGGAAACUGCCCGGCUGCAGCCAGAGGUCCCCACCCAGGGGGCAAUCCCAACCUGACAGCUCCUGCAGAUCGGGGCUCUCAGCCUUUCUCACUGCAGACACCCAAGGUCAGGGGAUGGGCUCUGAGUGCCUGAUGGAGCUGUGGGCAUCCCUGUGCAUUGCAGGGGGUUGGACUAGAUGGCUUUUAGAGGUCCCUUCCAACUCAACCAUGGCUUGAGAAAGGCUUUGGAAACUGUGCCUGGGGGAGGGAGGUCAUGGGAAAAGGGCUGCCCCAAGAGCUGCAGGAGGAGGAAGCAAAAGCCUCUGGGGUGGUAAUGGGCAAUGAACUUCUCCAUUCAGUGCAUGAGGCACAGAGCAGAAAAAUCAACAUUUCUGCCUCUCUUUGCAAGGUGCUGACAGUACAGUGCAGCCCAUUUCCCCAGAUUAGUAUCCCAUCAAAACUGUGCUCUGAGGACACAUUCCAACUGGUUUAUCACAAAGUUACAUCUGGCUGUAAAUGUGCAGCUCUGCUGUGGGCAAACCCAGCCAGUGAGCCUCUCGUCCAGGCCUCUGCCCCCAGCACAGUCAGCAG